rnacentral:rRNA from 1 species
GACGAACGCUGGCGGCGUGCCUAAUACAUGCAAGUUGAGCGCUGAAGGUUGGUACUUGUACCAACUGGAUGAGCAGCGAACGGGUGAGUAACGCGUGGGGAAUCUGCCUUUGAGCGGGGGACAACAUUUGGAAACGAAUGCUAAUACCGCAUAAAAACUUUAAACACAAGUUUUAAGUUUGAAAGAUGCAAUUGCAUCACUCAAAGAUGAUCCCGCGUUGUAUUAGCUAGUUGGUGAGGUAAAGGCUCACCAAGGCGAUGAUACAUAGCCGACCUGAGAGGGUGAUCGGCCAAAAUGGGAAUGAGACACGGCCCAAACUCCUACGGGAGGCAGCAGUAGGGGAUCUUCGGCAAUGGACGAAAGUCUGACCGAGCAACGCCGCGUGAGGGAAGAAGGUUUUCGGAUCGUAAAACUCUGUUGGUAGAGAAGAACGUUGGUGAGAGUGGAAAGCUCAUCAAGUGACGGUAACUACCCAGAAAGGGACGGCUAACUACGUG